UUUAUUUUCGAAUAUUACAUUAGAGAGAGAAAGGGAAGGAGGGGGAGCCGACGCCGGCCGACCUACCCGAUCCGACAAUUAUGACCGGCACCGAUUCAUACUAAUAGUUGACACUAAGUUAUCGCUCUUAUUUAUCGCCGUUACGGUCGCCAUCGCUGCCCACAGUUUAUGGUUUUGGGUUGCUAUACAUGUUUUGCUGCUUUGUGUACAAAAUAAAAGGUGUAGACUGGAGGAUCGUGUACAUGGUGAAAAAUCUAAUCCUACAUAGCAAGAAUUUGCAGAAGUUGAGGUAUGUGUAUAGUUUCGUCAGUUGCCUGUUGUUCAUAGUUUCAUAACUGCAGUAAUGGUGGCCUACACUUUGCUUCGAGGCGUUGGUAGAUCUAAAACAAACCACCCGUCUCUGUUUCUUCACAUUACAGACGAUACUACUGCCCCUAUUUUCAUCUAAAAUUAACACCAAAACCCUGUCAACAACUCUCUUUCAAGGUACUUUUUCCU
rnacentral:lncRNA from 1 species